rnacentral:misc_RNA from 1 species
UUUCCGUAGGUGAACCCGCGGAAGGAUCAUUCAUAAUAAGUGUUUUAUGGCACUUUUUUAAAUCCAUAUCCACCUUGUGUGCAAUGUCAGGGUUGAUUUUUCUCUCGAGAGGAUCAACCCCAAACAUCAACUAUAUCUCAACUCUUUGUCUGAAAAAUAUUAUGAAUAAAACAAUUCAAAAUACAACUUUCAACAACGGAUCUCUUGGCUCUC